rnacentral:lncRNA from 1 species
GUUGUUGUUGUUGCCGCCGCCAGUGGUUCUGUUACGGUCUUCAUUGGCGCCAGGAGAAGGAGGGGUUGGUCUUUGUGAAGGGGGUGGCUGGUUGGCCGGUGUCUGAGGCGGUGCAGGUGGAGUUACCGGAGUUUUGACUUCAGGAGAAGGUGUUACCGGAGCUUUGACUUCAGGAGAAGGUGGAGAAGGAUUCUCUGGAGUUUUCGGUGGUGGAUUACCUGCAACAGGCGGUGAAGGUGGCGGUGAUGGAGGAGGUAAGGUUUCUUGGCUCGGCGGUGCAGGAGGCGGUGAAGAAGCAGAGCUAUUGUUAGUUGGUGGAGAAGCAGAA